rnacentral:rRNA from 1 species
UACGAAGGGGGCUAGCGUUGCUCGGAAUCACUGGGCGUAAAGGGCACGUAGGCGGUGAAUCGGGUUGAAAGUGAAAGUCGCCAAAAACUGGCGGAAUGCUCUCGAAACCAAUUCACUUGAGUGAGACAGAGGAGAGUGGAAUUUCGUGUGUAGCGGUGAAAUGCGCAGAUAUCAGGAGGAACACCAAUUGCGAAGGCAGCUCGCUGGGACGUUACUGACGCUGAGACGCGAAAGCGUGGGGAGCAAACAGG